rnacentral:rRNA from 1 species
AACGAACGUUGGCGGCGUGGAUGAGGCAUGCAAGUCGAACGCGAAAGCCGCAAGGUGAGUAGAGUGGCGGACGGGCGAGUAACACGUAAUCAAGCUACCUGCGAGACGGGAAUAACCUCGGGAAACCGAGGCUAAGACCCGAUGGUCUUCAUGGACCGCAUGGUCUGGGAAGUAAAUGGGCGGGAUCCUUCGGGAUCGCCUGCUCGCAGAGGUGAUUGCGGCCCAUCAGCUAGUUGGUAGGUAAUGGCCUACCAAGGCAACGACGGGUAGCCGCUUAGAGGGUGGUCGGCCGCACUGGGACGUGA